AUGCUUGGCCCCCAUCCAUCAGGGUGGCUGUGCUCUGCACCCCUGCCGGCGCCUGUGGGAGGAACACAAUCUCCUGCAGGCAGCAACCUCCCAGGAGCUGAGCACGGUUCUUCCGAGAAGGGGGCAGCUGUGAGCCACCAGCAGCCACACACCACAGCCGCGGGGUGGAGGCACUGCCUGGUGAAGAAACUGGGCAAGGACCCAACAGUGUCCUCAGUAGGCUCCAAGGAAGCCAGAGAGGAGCAACCAGCCGUGAUCUCAAAGAAGAAACUGUCAUCUGGGGGCCUGUUGACUUCUGAAAUUAUCCAGGUUAGGAGGAAGAAAAUCUCUGUGUAGAAUGCCACGGGGUUGCUUAAGAAUCUCAGUAAGAAGAUCAAACAACCAAGCCACAGUUUAAAAGUAUUAUGUGAGCAUACACAAAUUUUAAUUUUAUUAACUACAUUUGUAAAUAUUGGAGAAGCUGGGGCAAAAAAUUGCACAGUCCCUCGAAAUAAAACUCUGAGAGCAAUUUUUAGCUCUUCUUUC
rnacentral:lncRNA from 13 species